rnacentral:rRNA from 1 species
UACGGAGGGCGCGAGCGUUGUUCGGAAUCACUGGGCGUAAAGCGCGUGUAGGCGGCCGGGCAAGUCGGAUGUGAAAUCCCGAGGCUCAACCUCGGAACGGCAUUCGAAACUGCUCGGCUCGAGUCCCGGAGAGGAUGGCGGAAUUCCCGGUGUAGGGGUGAAAUCCGUAGAUAUCGGGAGGAACACCAGUGGCGAAAGCGGCCAUCUGGACGGUGACUGACGCUGAGACGCGAAAGCGUGGGGAGCAAACAGG